GGUUGUGGCUCUGUGGUAGAGCACUAGUCUAGCACAUGCAAGGGGCCCUGGGUUCAAACCUCAGCACCA
rnacentral:tRNA from 1 species